rnacentral:lncRNA from 10 species
CGCAGACGGACGGGCCUGAAUCGUUCGCCUUGCGGUCGGUCCUAUCACCCUGAAAUGGGAUCCAGCAUCCCAUCACCCUGAAAUGGGAUCCAGCACUACCAACUGCGGUAGCCGUGGUUAAAGGAGACGACCCCGUGCAGCAGGAAGAAGUUAUUUAGAAUAAGGAAGAAUGCGCCGGGCUUGUUUAUUUACGGGCAUAAAUUUUUCGUAGGGUUCGACGGUAUGGCGGCUCCAGUCUCAGAUCUCACAGAAUUUCCUACACAAAGAAAUUUGCAAGGAAAAUGGACAUUGCACCCUAAAAAUUAACAAGGAAAGAAGGUACCAGGAGCAACAACUCAUUAACAGGAACAGAAACAAUAUUGCAAAUAUUUCAGAUGCAAAGUGUAUCCGACUUAUAAUACAACUGUCCCUACUGUGUCUAAAGAAAUGAAAGGCAAUAAAGAAAAUAUCUUUG